CUUUGUACCAACCUGUGUGCAUGUUAUCAGGCCAAAAUCACCAAGGUAUGUAAACAUUUGAUCAGGGUCAUUUGGGUAGUUUUUGUUGUUGUUGUGAUUUGAU